rnacentral:snRNA from 1 species
UGUAGCGGUUUAUUGUCCGCCCC